UUUUUUUUUUUUUUUUUUUUGUCUUUAAAUUAUGGAUACUAGUAUUGAUUGAUAAAGAUGGAAAAGUUUGAGAGGACUGGGAAGUUAAGAAGGUCACAGAAUAAUAUGGAUAGUAGUAAUUUGGAGGGGGUGGGGGUGGGGGUGGGGAAUUGCAUUUUGGGCUUUUUUUAUUAAUUAAAAUGUCAGCUUCAAUACGUUACUUUUACUUCUAUGGCUGAUUUUGAAGUAGAAACUUUGUGAUGUGCAAUUAGCUAGUCUGUGGAAAGUGGAAACUUUGUUUUUGUGAUGUGCACUUAGCUGGUUGGCAACAGAUUUUGGUGAAAUGGAAACUAGUUUCGAUUUUGGAGGAUUAUUCUACUUAUAUAUGAUAAGAAAAUUGGUAGCAAAAUGUAUGGUCUGACUCAGUUUAGAUUGUUCCACCAUUGUUCAUUCUUUCUUGCUUUGAGCUGUUCUGCUGAAAUAUUGAUGUUGUUCCUCUAUUUCCAAGUUCAUUCUUUUUACCUUGAGGCAAGGUAAAGGGUGGUUUUUUUUUUUUUUUUUUCCCUUUCUUAUUUAGAGUUUAGCGAGUGUUUUGUUCAUCAUCAGUCCAGUGUGAACCAAGUUCUACAUGUAUGGUCAUUGAAGUGAUAUCAUUGAAGUUUCACAAUGCCCUGGUACUGGGGUCAUAUUACUGUUUUCUUGUGGAUUAACUGCUACCCUUCAGAAGUCUCAUACAGUAACCUAUUAAAGUCUAUCACCCUAUAUGAAUAUCCAUCUAGUCCUCAAAUUGUCGUGCGAUUUUAUUUUACAUAUAUCAGAGAGGUUUCAAAUGGUAACUCUGUCUUGUUUUCAAUAAUUUGGCCACACUUCUUCCUGAAUAGCCCAAAUUUGUUGCUUGCUUGAACUUUUUAUUUUAAAUUUCCUGUGUCAGAUUGCAAAUACUUAUCCAACAUUUACUCAUUGCUGUUCUGUUGUGUUGCCAGGCCAUUGCGUCCUCUUUAGCUAAGAAGGGUGGAUUUUCUGCUGGUGUUGUUGCUGCACAAUACAAGUACAAGAAGUCUACAGUUGACGUCAAAGUUGACACAGAAUCCAGUGUACAUGUUCUUUUUGUAGUUGCUUUUUCCUUCCCCUAUGCCUCUAUACUUAUUGAAUUACUGAUCUCAUGAUGUUACUUUGGCAGAUUGCAACAAGCAUAACCGUGACUGACAUCUUACCAUCUAUGAAGACUAUUGCCACGUGUAGAUUUCCCGAUUACAAUUCUGGCAAGGUUGUGCUCUGAUUGGACACUCCUGGUCCUGGCUAUUGCAACUUGGUGCAAGUUUUGUGUACACAGUUUUUUCCCUUUUUCUUCUGCAAUUAAGUCGUUCCAUUCUAAUUUGCAGAUAGGGGUUCAAUAUUUCCAUGAGCAUGCAAGUUUCACUACAGCUGUUGAUCUGAACAAGUCUCCAAAUGUUGAUAUUUCCGCAACCAUUGGUACUCCUUUCAUUGCUUUUGGUACAGAAGCAAGUUACAAGGUGGAUUCGCGUUCGUUUACAACGUACAAUGCUGGAGUCAGUCUGACAAAACCAAAUUAUGGUGCUUCUGUAAUUUUGUAAGUUUUCCCCUUCUUGUGGACUCUUUUACAGAAUCAAGAAGUAAAAGAGGAUGGUUUCAUAACAGACUAGCUUUGAGAAUGAGAAACAUAUGUUUUGUAUGGACUGUUGCAAUCAGACCAGUUCUACCCUUCAAUAUGGGCAUUUUUUUUAAAAAAAAUAUUAAUAUUUAGCAUCUUUUUGGAUGUUGUUAGGUUCUAUGCUGCAGUAGUAAACAAUAAUGUGAUCCAAUUUUUUGUGAAUUAAUGGUGUUUUAUUUUUUGGUAGGGCUGACAAAGGAGAUGCAGUGAAGGCAACUUAUUUUCACCAAUGGGAUCAGGAAAAGAGAGGCGUUGCUGUGGCAGAAAUUGCAAGAAAGUUCUCUACGAAUGUCAAUAUUUUGACAGUUGGAGCGUCAUAUGCAAUUGAUCCUCACACACUGGUCAAGGCAAAGCUGAACAACCGCGGCAACCUUGAUACCUUGGUGCAGCAUGAGUUGGCAUCAAAAUCUUUCCUGAUAUUAUCUGGUUCCUUUGACACCUUAGCCAUGGAUAAGCAACCCCGGUUUGGUUUGGCACUAUCUCUCAAGCCUUGAAAAGUCUGUAGUCUAGAACAUAUGGAUGUGGUCUUCUUCCAAAAAUGAAGAAGUUUUUUAGAUUUGCUGAUUCUUUUUGACUAGGUAAUAGGGUAUUCUUUAUUCUUACUUCUUAAUUACCUGGAGGCUAUAUGGACCAUAGUCCUUGGAACAUAAAUUUUAUCUACACUCAACUUUGAUGUGGUUGCAUCACAUAAAGUGAUCAUCCAUAUUGCUUCUUGGAAAAUGAGUCCAUACAGUUGGCGGCCAAAGGUGUUAAUUUUCUUCUCUGGACCAGAAGCUUAAUCUUCAUUUGGAUGACUCGAUGGUGAAUUAAACUUUGGAUUGGAUUUUUUAUUAGUUAUCCGGAAAGUAGUUUAAAGCACCAUUGCCUUCUCGAGAAGGGGAAGUGUUUUACAUGUUGGCCAUUACCAGACCAUUAAACCACAUGCUUGAAACAUAUUUCUAUGGAAAUUUGAGCUGGAAGACGUAUGCCUAUCAGCCAACAGAUUAUUGCGUAAGAGCAGUUAUUAAUAAGUCAAUCUUCAAUUAUUUGGCUAGAAGAAUUCGCCUUAGCAGAGUAGUUCAGUGAUCACAAUCACAUAUACUAUGUAUGCCAUUGUUCAAGGAAAUGUCACGAUUCUGUAUUAGGAGAAAAUGUCACAAUCGCAUAUACUAUUACUAUAGCAACUGCUUUUGUGCCUUUGCGGCCAUGGACGUUGUAUUGAAAACGACGUUUGACAGGGAAUUUACUUAGAUUACAUGAAACAACAACUGAUAUCCAGGCGUUUAUGGUUUGGUCGAGAAAAAUAAUUUUGAAAGACAAAAACUCUUUCCAGAAGAAUGUGGCUUAGCAGCUUUCGUUGUAAAGGCAGCAUUUUUCCACUAGGAAAUUUCUUCAGUCCCGCUCACCUCAUUUGACUUCAUUUCAGAGCACGUUGAAAGGGCCUCAGGCCUGAUUAAGGAGGGGAAGUCUAAAGAGGUUGAUUAAGGGACUAAUAGGUGUACAGACUCGACUAAAUUAAAUGAGUGCUCUAAUAUCAGUUUUGAAUUUUUUUCACUACAGCCUGACCUACAGGCCGAAAGAGAGAUUUAAUCCCUUUUUAGUGGCCACUGAGUUAAAGCUCGGUAGUUGAUCUCAGGUCUGUUAGACCGAGUCGGUUAUGAAUUUUCUGCUGUAUACCAUAUGUUCUAAAAGUGGCUUGGAGGUUUCAACAAACUCUAUCAGGUUUGUGAGAGUAGAUAAAGUCUAGAUGUUUAUGCUUGAUGGUGAGAGUUGAGAAAGCGUCUGAAAGUUUUGACUACUCAAAUUAACGUUGUUGAUGGAGUAUGCAACGCCAUCCAGACAACUAUCGACUGCAUAUAAAUUAUGCGAAAGGAAGAAAUCAUACAUGGCUAGGACAUUUUCAAUGACUUUAAUGGGAAACUUAGAAGGAUGAGAAAAAGAUAAAAAAUUAUACAGCACCACUUGAUCACAUGAAGAGCUAAAAGUCAAUUUUAUUAGAAGAAUAAAAAAAAAAUGAAAAGUCAAGGUUCUCUUUCUUUCUCUUUUUUAUUACGACUGAGUCUUAGGGAUCAAAACUGAAUUCAGACGUUUGUAGAAGUGUGCAAAAUCGAAAAAUUCCAAUUUAUCGCUUGAAUUCGAAUUGAAUUCGGAAUUUCGAAUUUAAUAAUUUUGUAAUUCAAAAUGAAAAUUGAAAUUUCGAUUUCGAAUUGGUUGAAUUCGGAAUUGAUCGAAUUCGGUUUGAUAACGAGAUUUUUCAAAUUUCUUGCAGGUUUGGACCUUAAAAUUCUACUCAGAUAUGGAAUUUCAAAUUGCCCAUCAACAAACAGCAUUUUUAUUCGUUUUGCUUAUUCACAGACACUAACAGCCUUCUUGAAAUAUUACAGACGAUAAAGUCGCUCGUGUGUUAGCUAAAAAUGCAAAAUUCAUAUGUGAUGAUAUCUUUUGGAGGAAAAAUCCUUCAGAUUUUGUUGUGCCACUUCUAAUGGCGGAUUUAUUAGAAGGUUAGUGAAAUUCCAAUAAUGUUUUUAUCCAAAAACAAAAAAUUAUAGACAAAAAUUGUGUCCAACAUCAUCGAUCAAUACUCAGUGGUAGAAAAUGCAAAAACAAGUAGUAGUAUAUUCAUCCAGGAUACAACCAAAGAAAGAAAUAGAACUGUUGUAGAAUUUCAUAAAACAUCGCAGAAUAAAAAUUGAUCACUAGAAUCUCUCUAACUUUAAUAUUCCAAAGCGGAAUGAUCAUGCAAAUGAGUAUAGCUGUGGAACGAAGGAAAACCACUUGAAACCGCAGCUCCAUUUCUCAGUUAACAGAGGGCAUUUGGGAAGCCAGUGCCAGGUCUUCCUAGAAACCUUGUAAUACAAAACCUCAGGCCAAGUG
rnacentral:lncRNA from 1 species